AUACAUGCAAGUCGAGCGGACUUUCAAGAAGCUUGCUUUUUGAAAGUUAGCGGCGGACGGGUGAGUAACACGUGGGCAACCUGCCUGCAAGACGGGGAUAACUCCGGGAAACCGGGGCUAAUACCGGAUAAUAUCUUCCUUCGCAUGAAGGAAGGUUGAAAGGCGGCGCAAGCUGCCGCUUGCAGAUGGGCCCGCGGCGCAUUAGCUAGUUGGUGAGGUAACGGCUCACCAAGGCGACGAUGCGUAGCCGACCUGAGAGGGUGAUCGGCCACACUGGGACUGAGACACGGCCCAGACUCCUACGGGAGGCAGCAGUAGGGAAUCUUCCGCAAUGGACGAAAGUCUGACGGAGCAACGCCGCGUGAGCGAAGAAGGUCUUCGGAUCGUAAAGCUCUGUUGUCAGGGAAGAACAAGUACCGUUCGAACAGGGCGGUACCUUGACGGUACCUGACCAGAAAGCCACGGCUAACUACGUGCCAGCAGCCGCGGUAAUACGUAGGUGGCAAGCGUUGUCCGGAAUUAUUGGGCGUAAAGCGCGCGCAGGCGGUCUCUUAAGUCUGAUGUGAAAGCCCACGGCUCAACCGUGGAGGGUCAUUGGAAACUGGGAGACUUGAGUGCAGAAGAGGAGAGCGGAAUUCCACGUGUAGCGGUGAAAUGCGUAGAGAUGUGGAGGAACACCAGUGGCGAAGGCGGCUCUCUGGUCUGUAACUGACGCUGAGG
rnacentral:rRNA from 1 species